rnacentral:rRNA from 1 species
AGUUUGAUCCUGGCUCAGAUUGAACGCUGGCGGCAGGCCUAACACAUGCAAGUCGAGCGGAUGACGGGAGCUUGCUCCUUGAUUCAGCGGCGGACGGGUGAGUAAUGCCUAGGAAUCUGCCUGGUAGUGGGGGACAACGUUUCGAAAGGAACGCUAAUACCGCAUACGUCCUACGGGAGAAAGCAGGGGACCUUCGGGCCUUGCGCUAUCAGAUGAGCCUAGGUCGGAUUAGCUAGUAGGUGAGGUAAUGGCUCACCUAGGCGACGAUCCGUAACUGGUCUGAGAGGAUGAUCAGUCACACUGGAACUGAGACACGGUCCAGACUCCUACGGGAGGCAGCAGUGGGGAAUAUUGGACAAUGGGCGAAAGCCUGAUCCAGCCAUGCCGCGUGUGUGAAGAAGGGCUUCGGAUUGUAAAGCACUUUAAGUUGGGAGGAAGGGCAGUAAGCUAAUACCUUGCUGUUUUGACGUUACUGACAGAAUAAGCACCGGCUAACUCUGUGCCAGCAGCCGCGGUAAUACAGAGGGUGCAAGCGUUAAUCGGAAUUACUGGGCGUAAAGCGCGCGUAGGUGGUUCGUUAAGUUGGAUGUGAAAGCCCGGGCUCAACCUGGGAACUGCAUCCAAAACUGGCGAGCUAGAGUAUGGUAGAG